AUGCCACCCCCUGAGCAAAAUAUUGAGGCAUCUGUAGAAGUAGAAGUUCUAGAACAACAAAGAAUCAGAAGCACACCAUUCGAGCGAGACCCUGGAAAGCGCAAACAGAUUUGGGAACUCCCUUUUGAUAAGCAAAAUGAAACACGCCACUUCUAUAUUUCUGAAGGCCGAUACAUGCCAUACAUGAGAGAGUAUCCAUAUAAUGAACAUGGUCGGCAUUUCCAGUACAGUUGGUUAAAGGAUUUUAAAUGGCUCGAGUUUUCACCUUACACAAAGCGUGCAUAUUGCUUCCAUUGUUUCCUCUUCUCAAGAAAGCCGAUUGGGAAGUGCGGCUCAGAAACAUUUACUGUUUUGGGCUUUGAUAGGUGGAAGAAGGUGAAUAAUGGGAAAGAGUGUGCUUUUUAAACUCAUAUGGGUAAAGAUGCUGGUUCAGCCCAUAACUUCUCAGUUCGUUGUUAUGAUAAUUUUAAAAACGGCAUGACUCAUAUUGAUAGGCUAAGGCUCAAAGUUACAAUUGAUUCCAUCCGCAAUAUUUUUCUUCCAUCUUCUGUUACAAUAAUUAAAAUAUUGUGGUUAACAUUCCAGGCUUGUGCUUUUAGAGGGCAUGAUGAAUCUCCGAGAUCCAUUAACCGGGGUAAUUUUCUAGAACUGGUAAAACUUUUGGCUUAUUAUAACAAGGAGGUGAAAGAUGUUGUCUUGGAAAAUGCUCCUGGAAACGCAAAGUACACAUCUCAUCAGGUUCAAGAGGAAAUUCUUGCUAUACUUUCUCGAAAGGUGCAAAGAACAAUUAGAGAAGAAAUCGGUGAUAGCAAAUUUUGUAUAAUGGUUGACGAAGCUCGCGAUGAAUCCAAGAAAGAACAAAUGGCGUUGGUCCUUCGGUUUCCUGACACUGAAGGGUUCAUACAGGAGCGUUUUGUUGAUGUCAUUCAUGUGAAUGACACUCUUGCAUUGACUCUCAAGGAGACAAUUUGCACUAUUCUAGCAAACAACUAUUUAAAUGUGGAAGAUAUCAGAGGUCAAGUCUAUGACGGGGCCAGUAAUAUGCGAGGGGAGUGGGACGGAUUGAAGGCUUUAAUUCUGAAGGCAUGCCCUUAUGCAUAUUACAUUCAUUGUAUGGCGCAUCAGCUUUAGUUAGCCCUUGUUGCAGCAUCACAAGAGGUACAUGAAGUGCAUAAUUUUUUUCAACAUGCCAAUUUUGUCAUAAAUGUUGUUAGUGCUUCACCUAAACGCAAUGAUGAGUUACUAGCAAAUCAAGCCGCCGAAAUUGCCCUCCUACGAAGUAUAGCGAAUGAUCGUUCGGUGACACAAUAUUCCCGUGGAGAUGCUGGAGGCACCCUAAGGAUAAUUGUUUCUUUUGAUUUUGUGUUCAUUUUGCAUCUCAUGGAGAGGAUUAUGAAAAUCACAGAUGUCUUGUGCCAAACACUCCAUAAGAAAUCUAUGGACAUUUUGAAUGCAUUAGAUACACUCUCUAACACUAAGGUACUCCUCGCUGAACUAAGAGAGGAAGGAUAGGAACCUCUCAUAGAGGAGGUUAAGACCUUUUGUGUGAAGCAUGAAGUUGAGAUCCCCGAUAUGAGUCGCAAUAACAUCACAGUGCUUCACCACUACAAAGCAGAUGUGUUCAAUGUGGCGAUAGAUCAACAACUGCUUGAGCUAAAUGACCAUUUUAGUGUUCAGACUAUAGAGCUAAUGACACUCUGUGCAUGUAAAGCAUCUGUGUAUCCAAUGGCUGAUAGAUUAUUGCGCUUGGUCAUCACUCUCCCGGUGUCAACUUCAACUGCGGAGAGAGCUUUUUCAGCAAUGAAGAUUAUCAAGACGCGUCUCCGAAGUAAAAUGGGUGACGAUUUUCUUCGACCUUACAUGGCUGUAUACAUCGGGAAGGAAAUAGCUGCAAAGUUCAAUGUUAAUGAGAUUAUUGAUUUGUUUGAUCGACCGGAUGGGGGGCAUAGAUCUGCAUUCAAACUAGUAGAAAUGUAG
rnacentral:rRNA from 1 species